UAUUGCGCAAUGGGCGAAAGCCUGACGCAGCAACGCCGUGUGAGGGAUGAAGGCUUUCGGGUCGUAAACCUCUGUCGGAAGGGAAGAACGGGCAUUGGUCUAAUAGGCCUUUGUUUUGACGGUACCUUUAGAGGAAGCACCGGCUAACUCCGUGCCAGCAGCCGCGGUAAUACGGAGGGUGCAAGCGUUAUUCGGAAUUACUGGGCGUAAAGCGCACGUAGGCGGCCUUGUAAGUCAGGGGUGAAAUCCCACGGCUCAACCGUGGAACUGCCUUUGAAACUGCAGGGCUUGAAUCCUGGAGAGGGUGGCGGAAUUCCUGGUGUAGGAGUGAAAUCCGUAGAUAUCAGGAGGAACACCGGUGGCGAAGGCGGCCACCUGGACAGGUAUUGACGCUGAGGUGCGAAAGUGUGGGGAGCAAACAGGAUUAGAUACCCUGGUAGCCACACCGUAAACGAUGGAUACUAGGUGUCGGGGACUUGAUCUUCGGUGCCGUAGCUAACGCGUUAAGUAUCCCGCCUGGGGAGUACGGUCGCAAGGCUG
rnacentral:rRNA from 1 species